AGCCGGACCCUGGGAGUCGGCAGCUGCUGAAUCUGGUCAGGCCUUGACGGGAGCAGCCAUAAGGCGGCCACUGGCGUCCCAGGUCAUCUGGCUGUG
rnacentral:SRP_RNA from 1 species